AUAGGAUGAAGAGACUGAAGAAAAACUGGAAAAAGAAAGGAGACUGUGAGUGAGCAGUAAAAUGGAUAAAUAAUUGAUAAUAAAAAGCAGGCUGUUUUCCUCCAGAAGCUGACUAUUACAUGUUGUCUUUGACUCAAUAAAGUUAUUAGUUCUUUUUGUCUUUCUUAAAAAUGUUCUCUUGCUGUUUAAGAAAAUAAAAAAAAAAGCUGAAUAUAUGAAGGUAGGAACUAAUUAUCUUUCUGUAAGCUAAAUUUUUUUUCUUGAAAAUAACAAAAAAACAUUGUCUUUGAGAUGACUUUAAAAGAAAUCAUCAGUGACCUUUUGAAAAUGCAUGUCUAGAUUAGAGUAGGAUUCCAUAGGGACAAUGUAAUAGCUGAUGAUUAAGGUACUUAUCACCAAAUAUGUAUAAUUUUUGCAAAAGGAAAAUACAUUCCUUGUGCCCUCUGAUACAGCAGAACAUUUCUGCAAGCCAAGUAUGAAAGCAAAGCUGUCAAAAUAAAUGCAACAUUGUGCAUUGUGUUCCAGGCACACAUCUCUGCAUUUACAGCUCAAGCAGUGCAUCCACAUUCUGGACAUGUUGGACUUUUCAGCUCUCUAAAGAAUGCUAUGAGAGUGCCCUCGAUACACAAGCUGCCUAGCUGCCCUUGGGAAAGGCUCUCUGUGCAGUUGCUUCAAGCUCUGUGCAAAUGAAGCUGCAGAAGGUACCAGCAACAGGUCUGGGAAGGAUCAGGGGACCCAAGUAUUGUGGCCAUCCCCAGUGUUGCAGGUUUGGGCAAGAGAUACCAGUUGCUUUAGUACAUGAUACUACUUCCCCUAACAGCUUUUGUCUCCAGCUGAAUGAGAACACACACUGUGUCCUGAUGAUCUGCAGGACUUGCCAAGAGUGAUGCUGUUUUUUAGUGGAAAACUUCUACCAAUGCCUGCCCCAUAUUCAGCACAGUAUUCAGCAGUUAUUCACAUAUAUGAAUCCAACAGCUUCAGAAAGGAUGGUAUUUUUUAAAAUUUGCUAUAGUUUACUUAUCUAUAUAAAUAUAAAUAUAACUCUAAUGUAACAAUAAUUUCGCUUUGCAACAGGAUUUGUUCUAUUGUCUUUUUAUUUCACAAUCCAAGGUUUGAAACCAUUUCAAUUUUCUUUCUUCUCAGAAUGAGUCAUAAAAUUUCUACAAAAUUGAAUUGUUGCUGAAAUUCUCAAGUGAGUUGUUCAAAUUAUGACCUGCUCACCUCCCUUUUACACAGAUAAUUGUGAGUUGUUCCUUAAAUCUUCAAACAAAUUUUGAUUGAGGAAAUUAAAUAAUCAAGUACAAGAUAUGAAAUACUGGAGAAUCAUCCUUCAGUAGGUUUCACUACAUGUUCAGUUGUCAUGAAAAAAGAAAGGACUCAUUGUAAUGAAUGUUACAUACAUAGAGUAGUAGAUGAACAAAAAUAUAAAACUUGUGUUAGCUCUCAGAGGUUACAAACUCCUAUUUCAUAGUUACUGCUGGCCAGGACAGAGAUUCUGGUAUUAAACCUCAAAGUUUGAACAGAAUUUUCUUUUAAAAAGGUCACAGCAUUUUGUAACAUUUUACUAAAAAGGUGUGGAUUUUUCUUUUUCUGUAAAUUAAUGCUAAUAGUUCUAUUCCUCUCUAUAUUUAACAGCUUGCCUGUAGGAUUUCUUUUGCAAUACAUCUUCUUGCCACAAGUUUUUAUGACCAAACAUUAUAUCAGCAGUUAAAGGAUGGAACAAACUAUAUUAAAGAUGAACUUCAAUAGAAUAAAAUGUGGGUUUUUUUAAGGAAAUUAUCA
rnacentral:lncRNA from 1 species